rnacentral:rRNA from 12 species
AGAGUUUGAUCCUGGCUCAGGAUGAACGCUGGCGGCGUGCCUAAUACAUGCAAGUCGAGCGAACGGACGAGAAGCUUGCUUCUCUGAUGUUAGCGGCGGACGGGUGAGUAACACGUGGAUAACCUACCUAUAAGACUGGGAUAACUUCGGGAAACCGGAGCUAAUACCGGAUAAUAUUUUGAACCGCAUGGUUCAAAAGUGAAAGACGGUCUUGCUGUCACUUAUAGAUGGAUCCGCGCUGCAUUAGCUAGUUGGUAAGGUAACGGCUUACCAAGGCAACGAUGCAUAGCCGACCUGAGAGGGUGAUCGGCCACACUGGAACUGAGACACGGUCCAGACUCCUACGGGAGGCAGCAGUAGGGAAUCUUCCGCAAUGGGCGAAAGCCUGACGGAGCAACGCCGCGUGAGUGAUGAAGGUCUUCGGAUCGUAAAACUCUGUUAUUAGGGAAGAACAUAUGUGUAAGUAACUGUGCACAUCUUGACGGUACCUAAUCAGAAAGCCACGGCUAACUACGUGCCAGCAGCCGCGGUAAUACGUAGGUGGCAAGCGUUAUCCGGAAUUAUUGGGCGUAAAGCGCGCGUAGGCGGUUUUUUAAGUCUGAUGUGAAAGCCCACGGCUCAACCGUGGAGGGUCAUUGGAAACUGGAAAACUUGAGUGCAGAAGAGGAAAGUGGAAUUCCAUGUGUAGCGGUGAAAUGCGCAGAGAUAUGGAGGAACACCAGUGGCGAAGGCGACUUUCUGGUCUGUAACUGACGCUGAUGUGCGAAAGCGUGGGGAUCAAACAGGAUUAGAUACCCUGGUAGUCCACGCCGUAAACGAUGAGUGCUAAGUGUUAGGGGGUUUCCGCCCCUUAGUGCUGCAGCUAACGCAUUAAGCACUCCGCCUGGGGAGUACGACCGCAAGGUUGAAACUCAAAGGAAUUGACGGGGACCCGCACAAGCGGUGGAGCAUGUGGUUUAAUUCGAAGCAACGCGAAGAACCUUACCAAAUCUUGAUAUCCUUUGACAACUCUAGAGAUAGAGCCUUCCCCUUCGGGGGACAAAGUGACAGGUGGUGCAUGGUUGUCGUCAGCUCGUGUCGUGAGAUGUUGGGUUAAGUCCCGCAACGAGCGCAACCCUUAAGCUUAGUUGCCAUCAUUAAGUUGGGCACUCUAAGUUGACUGCCGGUGACAAACCGGAGGAAGGUGGGGAUGACGUCAAAUCAUCAUGCCCCUUAUGAUUUGGGCUACACACGUGCUACAAUGGACAAUACAAAGGGCAGCGAAACCGCGAGGUCAAGCAAAUCCCAUAAAGUUGUUCUCAGUUCGGAUUGUAGUCUGCAACUCGACUACAUGAAGCUGGAAUCGCUAGUAAUCGUAGAUCAGCAUGCUACGGUGAAUACGUUCCCGGGUCUUGUACACACCGCCCGUCACACCACGAGAGUUUGUAACACCCGAAGCCGGUGGAGUAACCUUUUAGGAGCUAGCCGUCGAAGGUGGGACAAAUGAUUGGGGUGAAGUCGUAACAAGGUAGCCGUAUCGGAAGGUGCGGCUGGAUCACCU